AGUGAACGCUGGCGGUAGGCCUAACACAUGCAAGUCGAACGGCAGCACAGUAAGAGCUUGCUCUUACGGGAGGCGAGUGGCGGACGGGUGAGGAAUACAUCGGAAUCUACUUUUUCGUGGGGGAUAACGUAGGGAAACUUACGCUAAUACCGCAUACGACCUACGGGUGAAGGCAGGGGAUCUUCGGACCUUGCGCGAUUGAAUGAGCCGAUGUCGGAUUAGCUAGUUGGCGGGGUAAAGGCCCACCAAGGCGACGAUCCGUAGCUGGUCUGAGAGGAUGAUCAGCCACACUGGAACUGAGACACGGUCCAGACUCCUACGGGAGGCAGCAGUGGGGAAUAUUGGACAAUGGGCGCAAGCCUGAUCCAGCCAUACCGCGUGGGUGAAGAAGGCCUUCGGGUUGUAAAGCCCUUUUGUUGGGAAAGAAAAGCAGCAGGUUAAUACCCCGCUGUUCUGACGGUACCCAAAGAAUAAGCACCGGCUAACUUCGUG
rnacentral:rRNA from 1 species